UACGUAGGAGGCAAGCGUUGUACGGAAUUACUGGGUGUAAAGGGCGUGUAGGCGGGACUGCAAGUCAGAUGUGAAAUUCCCAGGCUCAACCUGGGGGCUGCAUCUGAAACUGUGGUUCUUGAGUGCUGGAGAGGAAAGCGGAAUUCCUAGUGUAGCGGUGAAAUGCGUAGAUAUUAGGGGGAACACCAGUGGCGAAGGCGGCUUUCUGGACAGUAACUGACGCUGAGGCUAGAAUGCGUGGGGAGCAAACAGG
rnacentral:rRNA from 1 species